rnacentral:misc_RNA from 1 species
UCAAACUUGGUCAUUUAGAGGAAGUAAAAGUCGUAACAAGGUUUCCGUAGGUGAACCUGCGGAAGGAUCAUUAUCGAGUUUUGAAAAGGGUUGUAGCUGGCCUUCCGAGGCAUGUGCACGCCCUGCUCAUCCACACUCCCAACACCUGUGCACCUUUUGUGGGCGGAGCAAAGGAGAAAUCCCGCUCUGCCCGCGUCUCUCACACACGCAUAAAGUAUCAGAAUGUAACCUCGCGUUUUUACGCAUUUUUAAUACAACUUUCAACAACGGAUCUCUUGGCUCUCGCAUCGAUGAAGAACGCAGC